rnacentral:rRNA from 1 species
UGAAGAGUUUGAUCAUGGCUCAGAUUGAACGCUGGCGGCAGGCCUAACACAUGCAAGUCGAACGGUAACAGGAAGCAGCUUGCUGCUUCGCUGACGAGUGGCGGACGGGUGAGUAAUGUCUGGGAAACUGCCUGAUGGAGGGGGAUAACUACUGGAAACGGUGGCUAAUACCGCAUAACGUCGCAAGACCAAAGAGGGGGACCUUCGGGCCUCUUGCCAUCAGAUGUGCCCAGAUGGGAUUAGCUAGUUGGUGAGGUAACGGCUCACCAAGGCGACGAUCCCUAGCUGGUCUGAGAGGAUGACCAGCCACACUGGAACUGAGACACGGUCCAGACUCCUACGGGAGGCAGCAGUGGGGAAUAUUGCACAAUGGGCGCAAGCCUGAUGCAGCCAUGCCGCGUGUAUGAAGAAGGCCUUCGGGUUGUAAAGUACUUUCAGCGGGGAGGAAGGUGUUGUGGUUAAUAACCGCAGCAAUUGACGUUACCCGCAGAAGAAGCACCGGCUAACUCCGUGCCAGCAGCCGCGGUAAUACGGAGGGUGCAAGCGUUAAUCGGAAUUACUGGGCGUAAAGCGCACGCAGGCGGUCUGUCAAGUCGGAUGUGAAAUCCCCGGGCUCAACCUGGGAACUGCAUUCGAAACUGGCAGG